AUUAUUGGUAUCUCCAGCAGCAGGGCCCAGCUAGCGUGUGCAUGGAUUCUGGAUUGUGAUCCCGGCCGCAGUGAUCGGUGGUGAAAUGAAGAAUGCUCCACUCUCCAGCAGGACUGGUGCAUGUACACGAGCGCCUUGCCGAGAGUCAUGAGACAACAGCAAUGGGAUCCACUGGCACCACCGAGCGGUGAAGACAUCCAGACAUGUGAUAGUGUCAGCCGCAUGGACAUAGACAUGGAGAGGGAGUGCAGUAAUAUGGUGUAUGCCUUGAAGGCAGAGCGAUUAGCCGCUGCCGGCACUCAGGGACAGAAGUGCCUCCGAGUCGCAACGCGGCAUGCAGCGGAGGCCAGGCUGGAACCGGUAGGGCAGAUUCGGCGGGAGCACCAUCGCAUGAUGACUGCCCUCAGACGAGCCAAGGAAACCCCUGAGAAAGCACGGCGGAGGCGAGAGAAGGCCCGCCGAAGGGAGGCCAAUCGGCGUGCUCUGGAGACGGAAGAGGAAACGCAGCGGCGAAGAGAGGAGGGACGUAAGCGAGAAGCAGCUAGGCGAGCAGCUCAACGAGCCAAACAGACUACAGUAGAGCCAUCCCAGCAGCAGCAGCAGCAGCAACAGCAGCAGCAUGGCUGUGGUAGAGCAACGCUAAGCCAAAGCAAGGUGACGGGUGAAGAGGACAAGUCGCAACAAGCUGCUCUGGUGGAAGCUAAUGGUGAUUACCUGGAACGGGAAUGCGACGAAUCGGCUGUGUAUGUGCUGCGUAUUGUACCCUUCUUAGAACUUGGACAUCUAAAAAGUAGUAAGAACAGUUGAGUCAGAUUCUUGAUAUGUACUUCGAAGUAGUACUAUGUAGAUACUAGAUCUGUACUAGCACAGGCACAUACGUAUAACUGUGAUGUACAUGUACUCUAUGUCAUAGAACAAGUUGAUGUGACUGUGAUUAUAUGAUUAUACUUCAGUAGAAAAAUCCAUCUGGUAUAUAGACUGGACUACCUCCAUCUUCGAUUUAGGUGUUGUUACAUGUACACUGAGGAUUGAGCACAUUCUUACGCCUUUUCUUGAUGACUUUAGUCAGUGAACCUCUCUUUUUAUACGGGCAAAAGAAAGCACGAGACAGUGAGCUUUUUGCCGAGUAGAUCUGGCCUGCUGCUGCGGGUGUAGAUCAUCGUAGCUUUGUGCAGAGCGCUGGACAGCUAAUUGUCACUAGGAUUGUCUUAACGUCGUAAACUGCCAUGCUUGAGUACUCGUACUGCUGUCGUUAGGCUGCUAAUUUUUAAGGCUUGCUAUUACCAAGAGUACAUAACCCCCCAGAGUGUGCAACGCCGAUCCAGCUCUGUGUAGGGUCUUGGUCGAGCGGAAUCGGAUCUUCUGAUGUCAUGCGUACACUUCACACCAGCGCAAGGCAGGGCACCAUUGUUUUUGAUCCAAGAGUACCCGCGACUCCCCGGGUUCCCCUCAGAUGUGUACGGUAUUAUGACGCAAAGAUCCGAUUCCGCUCGACCAAGACCCUAUGCAGAGCUGGAUCAGGCGUUGCACACUCUGGGGGGUUAUGUACUCUUGCUAUUACUCUCUCCCUGUGACCAAUAAUAGGCAGAUAGAUAAGUAUUGUGCGUACCAUUCGUGCAAUGAUUUAUAUCAUCUGGUUCAGAACCUACCGCCUACAAAUUGACCGCCAUUGCGCUAGUUGGCCAAUCCACAUACAGCAUGGCGAGGUUGGCAUACAAGUGUAAACCGA